UUGUCGUUGAGGAUCACGGGUCAUAGAGAUACACUCUUCCAAGAAAUCUUCUCUAAUGAGGCCUUCUGAUGUGUAUGCAAACUUGUGCCCAGUUUCAUGGGCACAAACACAAACUGUAUUUGAGGAUAGACAAUCACCAAUACAAGUAGCACAGCAAUCUUCUGCCUUAAUUUGAGAAAGAGUGAAUCUCAAAUUAGCAUUUUGAAAAAUCAGGUUUUGAGGUAUGUAGAUAAAAGAUGGAGGACACUCAUUGUUGAUUUCAUUUAACCAUGAAAUCUCAACUAUUUCUUC
rnacentral:misc_RNA from 1 species